UUACGGCCAUAUCACGUUCAAGCACCGGUUCCCGCAUAAUCACCGAAGUUAAGCAAGAAACGUCAAUCCUGAUCAGUACCUAGAUGGGUGACCAUUUGGGAAUACCUGAUGAUGUAAG